CUUUUAUGUUGACAUUUAACGGUGAUAGGAAGUUAAAUGGUGGUUGAAAUAUUGGAAUAAAGGUUUCGAUUACAUCUUACUGAUAACUUGUUUUUGUGAGAUAUUCACUUACGGAAAAAAGUGUUCAUGUAAUAAUAUUUUAAGCAACUGUAAUGUAUUCACUCGCUAUCAUCAAGUGCUUCCUAUGUGUGAUGCUGCUGGUGUCUUCUAGCUUGCAGCUCCCGUGAAAACUUGCAUUUUCAAGGACCAAAUAUAGCUUUAAACGGAGCAGUAUCUCAGUCACCAGGAAAAUGCUGUUCAGGGAAUACAUGCUACGGGACCCUCUCUAGCAAUAGAUAACAACACGGACGGACAUUUCAGCCAUGGGCAUUGUUCACGUACCAGGCCCACGAGACAUGUAACAGCUUCAUGGACAGUGAAAUUUGAUAGAAAAUACUAUAUAACGGGAAUGAAAAUAUAUAAUAUAUUCCCGUCAAGUAAGUGGUUUUAUCAAACAAUAUGUUCCCGGACGAUACUACGGGUAACUAAAUGUAUUGACUGUGUAUACUGUUUCCGGACGCUACUACGGGUAACUAAAUGUAUUGACUGUGUAUACUGUUUCACAGUGGGUGGACAUGUUUUGCUGCUGCUUAUGUAUGAAAAAUGCUCUUUGCAGUAAGAAAUGGCGAUAUCGCAUUUGUUAAGCUUUUGACACACCAGAUGAGACGACUUUAAAGUGUUUGCUUUUAAAGACAGUCAAAAGCCUGUUAUUAUCUACGAUGGCACGUCACAUCGCCAAUACUUAAAACAAAUACAGAUUGAAAUUGCUGGAAAUCUGUCUUUUUCUUCACUAACCGUUGCAAUACCUCUAAAGGGAAAUACGAAAACUAUGCUGACUCUUUGUGAAGUGCAAAUAUUUUCAGCUUAUUGUCCUGCGAUACAUACACCAGUGCAUGGAACAGCAACACUUUUUAAUAAUACUGGGUUUACAUACGGAAAUGGAGAAAAUAUAUUCAACAGUGCAGGCAUGAUUAUUAAAUUUCAUUGUAAUAACGGGUAUGUCAUCAACGGACAAGAAUACGUGAAAUGUCUGCCAUCUGGAAACUACAGUUCGAAACAACCAAGCUGUAACAGACAAAGGUAGG
rnacentral:misc_RNA from 1 species